UGGGGAAUUUUGGACAAUGGGCGAAAGCCUGAUCCAGCAAUGCCGCGUGUGUGAAGAAGGCCUUCGGGUUGUAAAGCACUUUUGUCCGGAAAGAAAUCCUUGGCUCUAAUACAGUCGGGGGAUGACGGUACCGGAAGAAUAAGCACCGGCUAACUACGUGCCAGCAGCCGCGGUAAUACGUAGGGUGCAAGCGUUAAUCGGAAUUACUGGGCGUAAAGCGUGCGCAGGCGGUUUGCUAAGACCGAUGUGAAAUCCCCGGGCUCAACCUGGGAACUGCAUUGGUGACUGGCAGGCUAGAGUAUAGCAGAGGGGGGUAGAAUUCCACGUGUAGCAGUGAAAUGCGUAGAGAUGUGGAGGAAUACCGAUGGCGAAGGCAGCCCCCUGGCCAAGUACUGACGCUCAUGCACGAAAGCGUGGGGAGCAAAACAGGAUUAGAUACCCCUGGUAGUCCACGCCCUAAACGAUGUCAACUAGUUGUUGGGGAUUCAUUUCCUUAGUAACGUAGCUAACGCGUGAAGUUGACCGCCUGGGGAGUACGUCGCAAGAUUAAAACUCAAAGAAUUG
rnacentral:rRNA from 1 species